UAACCAGCCAUUCACUAGGUAGCUUUAUUCAAAAUCCUAAUCUUCCUUCUUUGAAUCUAACAAUAAUGUUCUCAAAUCUAUUUGUCACGUGGGCAUUUAUCAUGGAACAAUAUAUUUUUUACCAGCAAGACAGAAUCCCUUUGUUUUGCCAAAGGAUGAUUAAAACUGAUAAUUUUAAUCGUUUCAAGUAGAAUCUGCAGAGAGGUUUCCUAGCCACAGAUGGAUCAAGCAAAGUCACCAUGAAACUAUACCAUUUUAAUUGUAUUUCCUCUGCUCUGAAAGCUAAAAAGCUAAAGCUCCAGAAACCUAGGCAUUUGAACUAAUUUUUUUUUAAUGUACUGGAUUACUGAACCAUCAAAACCAUUUCAGUAAUAAGCAACUUGUUGUUCUGAGUCUAGGAUUUUGUGAAACAACAGAGAAGACAAUUUUACAAAUGAAAAGGAACCUAAAAGCAUUCAUCUACCCGACUUCUUAUUUUAUAGAUGAGGAAAACAGGCCCAGAAGCUCUGAAAUGCCUUUCCUAGACAUACACAGAUGAAAAACUAGAAGGCUACAGCUCUCUCCUCACUCCUGCUUUCUGUGCCUAACAAGAUGUGAGACUUGGGACCAAGGAAGUCUUGGAAGGCCUAAAUCAGGAGAAAGAAGUUAACAUCGAUCAUAGGAAUCAGGCUCCAACCUGUACCGUAUAAUAUAUAUACCAAGAAACACAAACAUCAGGAAAGGAAGAAAG
rnacentral:lncRNA from 1 species